rnacentral:lncRNA from 1 species
GGGGAAAGAGAUUCCUACAGGCGAAAUUGCUGUAUCAAAAGAUGAUGUAUGGUUCUAUUAUUGCUAGGGGCUGCCAAAAGGGAAAGAGACUGCCCAUUUCCCCACAUCCAUGCCAGAACUGCAUGUUCUUGUUUUUGCCACUCUGGGGAGAGGCGCCCUUCCUCAUGGCCCUAGGAAGGUAGUGAAGUUAUGUCCCAGCCCCAGGUAGGCAGCCUCCUUCCCUCUCAAAGCCCUGCCCCUCCCAAAAGUCACUGCUACCCUAAGUGUUAUGGAUAUCACUUGUGUUUCUUUCUUGUUUUACCAACCAUGUGAGCAGCCCCAGACACUAUACUUAAUCUUGC